CGGAGUAGACACGUGGGCAAUCUACCUUUCGGUGAGGAAUACCGGCGAGAAAUCGCCGACAAUACCGCAUACGCUCGGGCAACCGAGCAAAGUCGCAAGACGCCGGAGGAGGAGCCUGCGCCCGAUUAGCUAGUUGGUGGAGUAAUGGUCUACCAAGGCGACGAUCGGUAGCUGGUCUGAGAGGAUGAUCAGCCACACUGGGAUUGAGAACGGCCCAG
rnacentral:rRNA from 1 species